ACUCCUGCGGGAGGCAGCAGUGGGGAAUUUUGGACAAUGGGCGAAAGCCUGAUCCAGCCAUGCCGCGUGCAGGAUGAAGGCCUUCGGGUUGUAAACUGCUUUUGUACGGAACGAAACGGCCUUUUCUAAUAAAGAGGGCUAAUGACGGUACCGUAAGAAUAAGCACCGGCUAACUACGUGCCAGCAGCCGCGGUAAUACGUAGGGUGCAAGCGUUAAUCGGAAUUACUGGGCGUAACGCGUGCGCAGGCGGUUAUGUAAGACAGUUGUGAAAUCCCCGGGCUCAACCUGGGAACUGCAUCUGUGACUGCAUAGCUAGAGUACGGUAGAGGGGGAUGGAAUUCCGCGUGUAGCAGUGAAAUGCGUAGAUAUGCGGAGGAACACCGAUGGCGAAGGCAAUCCCCUGGACCUGUACUGACGCUCAUGCACGAAAGCGUGGGGAGCAAACAGGAUUAGAAACCCUGGUAGUCCCAUGA
rnacentral:rRNA from 1 species